UCGGAAGGUGCGGCUGGAUCACCUCCUUUCUAGAGUGGCACGGGAGCUAACGCUCCAUCAUCAAGCGCCUACGCUUAUCGGCUGUUAGAAGUUAAACGAGAACAGUUCGGGUCUGUAGCUCAGUCGGUUAGAGCACCGUGUUGAUAACGCGGGGGUCGUUGGUUCGAAUCCAACCAGACCCACCAGUUACCAAAUGGGGGAUUAGCUCAGCUGGGAGAGCACCUGCUUUGCAAGCAGGGGGUCGUCGGUUCGAUCCCGUCAUCCUCCACCACUACCUUUACGUAAGACUAGGCCACGCGGCUAGCGUUUUAGGUAAGCGUAGUUCUCGUUCUUUAACAAUCUGGAAGAAGUAAAGUUUUCUUUAAGCGUUCAAUACGUUGAAAAAUGUAUCGAACACUUAGGGUAGUAAUCUGUAUGUAUCAACAAACAUAGUAAGCUGAACUCUUGUCGAUAUGACGUUCCCUGAUACUCAUGCAGGGGCCAACGUUAUAGGGACAAGUGAAUAAGUGCACAU
rnacentral:misc_RNA from 1 species